UGGGGAAUAUUGGGCAAUGGGGGAAACCCUGACCCAGCGACGCCGCGUGAGGGAUGAAGGUUUUCGGAUUGUAAACCUCUGUCUUCAGGGACGAAAAAAUGACGGUACCUGAGGAGGAAGCCACGGCUAACUACGUGCCAGCAGCCGCGGUAAUACGUAGGGGGCAAGCGUUAUCCGGAUUUACUGGGUGUAAAGGGAGCGUAGACGGUACUGCAAGUCAGCGGUGAAAUACCUAAGCUCAACUUAGGGGCUGCCGUUGAUACUGCAUAGCUGGAAUAUGGUUGCUGUUGGCGGAAUGUGUAGUGUAGCGGUGAAAUGCAUAGAUAUUACACAGAACACCGAUUGCGAAGGCAGCUGACAAAACCAUAAUUGACGCUGAUGCACGAAAGUGUGGGGAUCAAACA
rnacentral:rRNA from 1 species